rnacentral:lncRNA from 13 species
CCACCGUGUAAGAAGUGACUUUUGUCUUCCACCGUGAUUAUGGGACCUCCCCAACCACGUGGAACUGUAGGAACUCCCUUGGAUAUUCGGGAAAUUUCCACCUGAUCAGAAACUCCAUAAAACCACUGUCAGAUGCUCACUGAUGACUGCAGAAUCAAGUGUGACCGUAGAGGAAGAACACGAGGAGUUUCCAUGAGACGAGAGUCUUCAAGCAUUAAUGGGCCAGAUCCUGAAGGACCUUGUGAAGACCAAAGCAACUCCUUCUUAGAUACUAAUCCACAUGUUGACUUCUGAUUAACUCCAGUUCUGGAAAAACCUCUAAGAUGUCUAGAUUACUGAUUGUUCUUUGUGUAAGAGCACAUGCUUACCAUAAAGCCUACCCUUGGGUCAAAACAUCACUGAUAUUACUGUACUUCAGUUGUUCUACACACUUCUAUGGAAUCAUCCUUUCCCUA